rnacentral:misc_RNA from 1 species
GAUGAAGAACGCAGCGAAAUGCGAUACUUGGUGUGAAUUGCAGAAUCCCGCGAAUCAUCGAGUUUUUGAACGCAAGUUGCGCCCGAAGCCAUUAGGCCGAGGGCACGCCUGCCUGGGCGUCACACGUCGUUGCCCCCCCAUCUACUCCUUCGGGAUUGCGGGGGGCGGAUGAUGGCCUCCCGUGCGCCUCGUCGCGCGGUUGGCAUAAAUGCCAAGUCCUCGGCGACGCACGCCACGACAAUCGGUGGUUGCGAAACCUCGGUUGCCCGUCGUGUGCGGUCGUCGCGCAUCGAGGGCUCGAAAAAAUUGCCGGGCUCCGGCUCGGCUUUCAACGCGACCCCAGGUCAGGCGGGGUUACCCGCUGAAUUUAAGCAUAUCAAUAAGCGGAGGA